AGCGGCGGACGGGUGAGUAACGCGUGGGUAACCUGCCCUGUACACACGGAUAACAUACCGAAAGGUAUGCUAAUACGAGAUAAUGUGCUUUUAUCGCAUGGUAGAAGUAUCAAAGCUCCGGCGGUACAGGAUGGACCCGCGUCUGAUUAGCUAGUUGGUAAGGUAACGGCUUACCAAGGCGACGAUCAGUAGCCGACCUGAGAGGGUGAUCGGCCACAUUGGAACUGAGACACGGUCCAAACUCCUACGGGAGGCAGCAGUGGGGAAUAUUGCACAAUGGGCGAAAGCCUGAUGCAGCAACGCCGCGUGAGCGAUGAAGGCCUUCGGGUCGUAAAGCUCUGUCCUCAAGGAAGAUAAUGACGGUACUUGAGGAGGAAGCCCCGGCUAACUACGUGCCAGCAGCCGCGGUAAUACGUAGGGGGCUAGCGUUAUCCGGAUUUACUGGGCGUAAAGGGUGCGUAGGUGGUUUCUUAAGUCAGAGGUGAAAGGCUACGGCUCAACCGUAGUAAGCCUUUGAAACUGGGAAACUUGAGUGCAGGAGAGGAGAGUGGAAUUCCUAGUGUAGCGGUGAAAUGCGUAGAUAUUAGGAGGAACACCAGUUGCGAAGGCGGCUCUCUGGACUGUAACUGACACUGAGGCACGAAAGCGUGGGGAGCAAACAGGAUUAGAUACCCUGGUAGUCCACGCCGUAAACGAUGAGUACUAGCUGU
rnacentral:rRNA from 1 species